UACGGAGGGUGCAAGCGUUUAUCCGGAAUCACUGGGCGUAAAGAGCGCGUAGGUGGCGCGACAAGUCAGUGGUGAAAGUUCGACGCUCAACGUCGAAUCGGCCACUGAUACUGUUGGGCUUGAGCACUGGUAGAGGCUAAUGGAAUUCCGGGUGUAGCGGUGGAAUGCCGUAGAGAUCCGGAAGAACACCGGUGGCGAAGGCGGUUAGCUGGGGCAGUUGC
rnacentral:rRNA from 1 species